AAUUUGAGUCGAAUCUCAGCUUUCGGCGCCAUUUUCGACUUGGAGCAAGAAAUAACCUGGCGCGUCAGGAGCAGAGCGCACGUCGGAGAAGGAGCUGCAGGCUGGAGCAGAGAGAUCGGACGCUCAGGGACGGGGAAAGCGAAGUAGUAGGCUUGACAGGGACAGCCAGUUUUAAGUGUAAAAAUGGUCCCAGGAGUGUUGGAAAAUACAACUUCGCCAUCAUAGCUACAUAAUGACAACUGCUACAGGUGUGACGAGAAUACACAUAAAAUUAAGAUGUUUGCUGGCCUGGGUUAGCAUCAGUGACAUCAGCAAGUGGUCUGCCACCUGCCCUCAGGGGAAGGAGAGAUAAGGAACAAUGGAGCAGCGUCUGGAGAUGUGUAAUGAAGGAACAAGGGAGAGAGAGCUGUCUGGAGCGGCUCCCCUCUUUGAACCUUGAACUGUUUGAAGUGAUGGACAGACGAUACCCCAGCAGGGGGUUGAAAAGGGACCGGUUUGCUAAGGCGACACACACGCCACCCGAGGUAACGAGACCCUGGAAGCAGUACGCUUCUCACGAGUCGGUGAGAAGUACCAGACAACGGCCAGGGUGGAAAGGUACAAUCAGUGGGAACCCGGUGUGUGUCCGCCCUUACCUGGGUGCCGGGUUCACUGCAGAGGAUCGACCGCAUCUGGAGGAGGGGUCACAGUCGGUGACCUCAGGUGACAUCACCAAGGACCCGCCCAAAAGUUGCUUGUGAGCCAUCUCGCCGGUCUGUAAGUGAAGCCGUUCUGAAUGAUCAGAUGUUCCUGUUCUCCCUCUCUCUCUUCCCCCACAUUGUCCAUCGCCAUGGCAACGAUUACUGCGAACUGAACUACUAAACUGGACUGAACUUUGAGUCACUUUGAAAUUUGGUCAUUUACCCCUAGACAACGAUAGAGCUUGAUUGAUGCUGUUAUCUUAACUCUGAGCACAUGUGUGUUUAUCAUCGCUGAACUGUUGCAUUUAUUAGCCUUUCGAUUACUGUGUUGCUUGUUUCUUUAAUAAAACUUUCUUAGUUCUAG